GACGAACGCUGGCGGCGUGCUUAACACAUGCAAGUCGAACGGAAAGGCCCCUUUGGGGGUCCUCGAGUGGCGAACGGGUGAGUAACACGUGAGUAACCUGCCCUUGACUUCGGGAUAACUUCAGGAAACUGGGGCUAAUACCGGAUAGGAAUCCUUGCUGCAUGGUGGGGGUUGGAAAGCUUCGGCGGUUUUGGAUGGACUCGCGGCUUAUCAGCUUGUUGGUGGGGUAGUGGCUUACCAAGGCUUUGACGGGUAGCCGGCCUGAGAGGGCGACCGGCCACAUUGGGACUGAGAGACGGCCCAGACUCCUACGGGAGGCAGCAGUGGGGAAUAUUGCACAAUGGGCGGAAGCCUGAUGCAGCAACGCCGCGUGCGGGAUGACGGCCUUCGGGUUGUAAACCGCUUUCAGCAGGGGCGAAGCUUGUGGUGACGGUACCUGCAGAAGAAGCACCGGCUAACUACGUG
rnacentral:rRNA from 1 species